UACAGAGGUCUCAAGCGUUGUUCGGAUUCAUUGGGCGUAAAGGGUGCGUAGGUGGCGCUGUAAGUCAGGUGUGAAAUUUCGGAGCUUAACUCCGAAACUGCAUUUGAUACUGCGGUGCUUGAGGACUGGAGAGGAGACUGGAAUUUACGGUGUAGCAGUGAAAUGCGUAGAGAUCGUAAGGAAGACCAGUGGCGAAGGCGGGUCUCUGGACAGUUCCUGACACUGAGGCACGAAGGCCAGGGGAGCAACCGGG
rnacentral:rRNA from 1 species